rnacentral:rRNA from 1 species
AGAGUUUGAUCAUGGCUCAGGAUGAACGCUAGCGGCAGGCCUAAUACAUGCAAGUCGAACGAUACUUUCCAGCUUGCUGGAGAGGAAAGUGGCGCACGGGUGCGUAACGCGUAUGCAACCUACCUUCAUCAGGGGGAUAGCCCGGAGAAAUCCGGAUUAAUACCGCAUAAAAUCACAGGAUGGCAUUAUCCAAUGAUCAAACAUUUAUGGGAUGGAGAUGGGCAUGCGUGUCAUUAGCUAGUUGGCGGGGUAACGGCCCACCAAGGCGACGAUGACUAGGGGAUCUGAGAGGAUGGCCCCCCACACUGGUACUGAGACACGGACCAGACUCCUACGGGAGGCAGCAGUAAGGAAUAUUGGUCAAUGGAGGCAACUCUGAACCAGCCAUGCCGCGUGCAGGAAGACUGCCCUAUGGGUUGUAAACUGCUUUUAUCCGGGAAUAAACCUAAAUACGUGUAUUUAGCUGAAUGUACCGGAAGAAUAAGGAUCGGCUAACUCCGUGCCAGCAGCCGCGGUAAUACGGAGGAUCCAAGCGUUAUCCGGAUUUAUUGGGUUUAAAGGGUGCGUAGGCGGCCUGUUAAGUCAGGGGUGAAAGACGGUAGCUCAACUAUCGCAGUGCCCUUGAUACUGAUGGGCUUGAAUGGACUAGAGGUAGGCGGAAUGAGACAAGUAGCGGUGAAAUGCAUAGAUAUGUCUCAGAACACCGAUUGCGAAGGCAGCUUACUAUGGUCUUAUUGACGCUGAGGCACGAAAGCGUGGGGAUCAAACAGGAUUAGAUACCCUGGUAGUCCACGCCCUAAACGAUGAACACUCGCUGUUGGCGAUACACAGUCAGCGGCUAAGCGAAAGCGUUAAGUGUUCCACCUGGGGAGUACGCCCGCAAGGGUGAAACUCAAAGGAAUUGACGGGGGCCCGCACAAGCGGAGGAGCAUGUGGUUUAAUUCGAUGAUACGCGAGGAACCUUACCCGGGCUUGAAAGUUAGUGAAUGAUCCAGAGAUGGAUCAGUCCGCAAGGACACGAAACUAGGUGCUGCAUGGCUGUCGUCAGCUCGUGCCGUGAGGUGUUGGGUUAAGUCCCGCAACGAGCGCAACCCCUAUGUUUAGUUGCCAGCAUGUAAUGGUGGGGACUCUAAACAGACUGCCUGUGCAAACAGAGAGGAAGGAGGGGACGACGUCAAGUCAUCAUGGCCCUUACGUCCGGGGCUACACACGUGCUACAAUGGACGGUACAGAGGGCAGCUACAUAGCAAUAUGAUGCGAAUCUCACAAAGCCGUUCACAGUUCGGAUUGGGGUCUGCAACUCGACCCCAUGAAGUUGGAUUCGCUAGUAAUCGCGUAUCAGCAAUGACGCGGUGAAUACGUUCCCGGGCCUUGUACACACCGCCCGUCAAGCCAUGGAAGCUGGGGGUACCUAAAGUAUGUAACCGCAAGGAGCGUCCUAGGGUAAAACCGGUAACUGGGGCUAAGUCGUAACAAGGUAACCGUA